GCGUGAGUGAUGAAGGCCCUAGGGUUGUAAAGCUCUUUUACCAGGGAUGAUAAUGACAGUACCUGGAGAAUAAGCUCCGGCUAACUCCGUGCCAGCAGCCGCGGUAAUACGGAGGGAGCUAGCGUUGUUCGGAAUUACUGGGCGUAAAGCGCGCGUAGGCGGCCGCUUAAGUCAGAGGUGAAAGCCCGGAGCUCAACUCCGGAAUUGCCUUUGAAACUAGGUGGCUAGAAUCUUGGAGAGGCGAGUGGAAUUCCGAGUGUAGAGGUGAAAUUCGU
rnacentral:rRNA from 1 species